UUAGUAACGGCGAGUGAAGCGGCAAUAGCUCAAAUUUGAAAGCUGGCCCCUUCGGGGUCCGCGUUGUAAUUUGUAGAGGAUGAUUCGGCGAGGGCUCCCGUCUAAGUCCCUUGGAACAGGGCGUCAUAGAGGGUGAGAAUCCCGUAUGUGAUGGGCUGCCUUAGCCAUGUGAAUCUCCUUCGACGAGUCGAGUUGUUUGGGAAUGCAGCUCUAAAUGGGAGGUAAAUUUCUUCUAAAGCUAAAUACCGGCCAGAGACCGAUAGCGCACAAGUAGAGUGAUCGAAAGAUGAAAAGCACUUUGGAAAGAGAGUUAAAAAGUACGUGAAAUUGUUGAAAGGGAAGCGCUUGCAGCCAGACUUGUCCGCAGUUGCUCAGCUUGUCUCCUGACAGGCGUACUCUUCUGCGGCCAGGCCAGCAUCAGUUCGGGCGGUCGGAUAAAGACCUGGGGAAUGUAGCUCCUCUCGGGGAGUGUUAUAGCCCUGGGUGCAAUGCGGCCAGCCUGGACUGAGGAUCUCGCUUCGGCUAGGAUGCUGGCGUAAUGGCUGUAAGCGGCCCGUCUUGAAACACGGACCAAGGAGUCUAACAUCUAUGCGAGUGUUUGGGUGUCAAACCCAUGCGCGUAAUGAAAGUGAACGGAGGUGGGAACCCUCACGGGUGCACCAUCGACCGAUCCUGAUGUCUUCGGAUGGAUUUGAGUAAGAGCAUAGCUGUUGGGACCCGAAAGAUGGUGAAMUAUGCCUGAAUAGGGUGAAGCCAGAGGAAACUCUGG
rnacentral:rRNA from 1 species